GUGGGGAAUCUUAGACAAUGGGGGCAACCCUGAUCUAGCCAUGCCGCGUGAGUGAUGAAGGCCUUAGGGUCGUAAAGCUCUUUCGCUGGGGAAGAUAAUGACGGUACCCAGUAAAGAAACCCCGGCUAACUCCGUGCCAGCAGCCGCGGUAAUACGGAGGGGGUUAGCGUUGUUCGGAAUUACUGGGCGUAAAGCGCGCGUAGGCGGAUUGGAAAGUUGGGGGUGAAAUCCCGGGGCUCAACCCUGGAAUGGCCUUCAAAACUCCCAGUCUUGAGGUCGAGAGAGGUGAGUGGAAUUCCGAGUGUAGAGGUGAAAUUCGUAGAUAUUCGGAGGAACACCAGUGGCGAAGGCGGCUCACUGACUCGAUACUGACGCUGAGGUGCGAAAGCGUGGGGAGCAAACAGGAUUAGAAACCCCAGUAGUCC
rnacentral:rRNA from 1 species